rnacentral:rRNA from 1 species
GACGAACGCUGGCGGCGCGCCUAACACAUGCAAGUCGAACGGAGCUGAGAGAAGCUUGCUUUUCUUAGCUUAGUGGCGAACGGGUGAGUAACGCGUGAGUAACCUGCCCUGGAGUGGGGGACAACAGUUGGAAACGACUGCUAAUACCGCAUAAGCCCACGAUCCGGCAUCGGCUUGAGGGAAAAGGAUUUAUUCGCUUCAGGAUGGACUCGCGUCCAAUUAGCUAGUUGGUGAGGUAACGGCCCACCAAGGCGACGAUUGGUAGCCGGACUGAGAGGUUGAACGGCCACACUGGGACUGAGACACGGUCCAGACUCCUACGGGAGGCAGCAGUGGGGGAUAUUGCAAAAUGGGGGAAAUCAUGAUGCAGCGACGCCGCGUGGAGGAAGAAGGUUUUCGGAUUGUAAACUCCUGUCGUUAGGGACGAUAAUGACGGUACCUAACAAGAAAGCACCGGCUAACUACGUG